GACGAACGCUGGCGGCGUGCUUAACACAUGCAAGUCGAGCGGUAAGGCUCCUUCGGGAGUACACGAGCGGCGAACGGGUGAGUAACACGUGAGUAAUCUGCCCUUCACUUCGGGAUAACCACCGGAAACGGUGGCUAAUACCGAAUACGACCAGUCUUCGCAUGAGGUGCUGGUGGAAAGUCUUUUCGGUGAAGGAUGUGCUCGCGGCCUAUCAGCUUGUUGGUGGGGUAAUGGCCUACCAAGGCUUCGACGGGUAGCCGGCCUGAGAGGGUGACCGGCCACACUGGGACUGAGACACGGCCCAGACUCCUACGGGAGGCAGCAGUGGGGAAUAUUGGACAAUGAGCGAAAGCCUGAUCCAGCAACGCCGCGUGAGGGAUGACGGCCUUCGGGUUGUAAACCUCUUUCAGUACCGACGAAGCGCCCUGUCGGGUGGUGACGGUAGGUACAGAAGAAGGACCGGCCAACUACGUG
rnacentral:rRNA from 1 species